rnacentral:rRNA from 1 species
UACGUAGGGGGCAAGCGUUGUCCGGAAUCACUGGGCGUAAAGGGCGCGUAGGCGGCCUGAUAAGUAGGGGGUGAAAUCUUGCGGCUCAACCGCAAGGCUGCCUUCUAAACUGUCAGGCUGGAGCACGGUAGAGGCAGAUGGAAUUCCCGGUGUAGCGGUGGAAUGCGUAGAGAUCGGGAAGAACACCAGUGGCGAAGGCGGUCUGCUGGGCCGUUGCUGACGCUGAGGCGCGAAAGCUAGGGGAGCAAACAGG